GACGAACGCUGGCGGCGUGCUUAACACAUGCAAGUGGAGCGACGAACCAGGGCUUGCCCUGGGGCAGAGCCGCGAACGGGUGAGUAACACGUGGGUAACCUGCCCAGAUGACCGGGACAACCCGAGGAAACUCGGGCUAAUACCGGAUGUGCUGUCCCCACAUCAGUGGGGUUAGGAAAGGUAGCUUCGGCUUCCGCAUCUGGAUGGGCCCGCGGCCCAUUAGCUUGUUGGUGAGGUAACGGCUCACCAAGGCUUCGAUGGGUAGCUGGUCUGAGAGGGCGAUCAGCCACACUGGGACUGAGACACGGCCCAGACUCCUACGGGAGGCAGCAGUGGGGAAUCUUGCGCAAUGCGCGAAAGCGUGACGCAGCAGCGCCGCGUGCGGGAAGACGGCCUUCGGGUUGUAAACCGCUUUCAGUUGAGACGAGGCCUUUGCGGUUAAUAGCCGUGGAAGGUGACGGUACCUUCAGAAGAAGCCCCGGCUAACUACGUGCCAGCCGCCGCAGUAA
rnacentral:rRNA from 1 species